GCGCGUUUAGCUCAGUGGUAGAGCGUUUGAUUGCAGCUCAAAGGGUCGCUGGUUCGAGUCCGGCAAUGCGCU
rfam:Saprolegnia parasitica CBS 223.65 unplaced genomic scaffold supercont2.1, whole genome shotgun sequence.